CCCUUAGAUGUUCUGGGCCGCACGCGCGCUACAAUGAUGAAUUCAACGAGUUUAUAACCUUGGUUGAAAAGCCUGGGUAAUCUUUUGAACUUUCGUCGUGAUGGGGCUAGACCCUUGCAAUUAUUGGUCUCCAACGAGGAAUUCCUAGUAAACGCAAGUCAUCAGCUUGCAUUGAUUACGUCCCUGCCCUUUGUACACACCGCUCGUCGCACCUACCGAUUGAAUGGUCCGGUGAAAUCUUCGGAUUGAGACUUUGAUUUCUUCACGGAAAACGCUGUUUUAAAAAGUUGAUUAAACCUUACCAUUUAGAGGAAGGUGAAGUUGUAACA
rnacentral:rRNA from 1 species